UACGUAGGGUGCAGGCGUUAAUCGGAAUUACUGGGCGUAAAGCGUGCGCAGGCGGUUUCUUAAGUCAGAUGUGAAAGCCCCGGGCUUAACCUGGGAACUGCGUUUGAAACUGGGAGACUUGAGUGUGGCAGAGGGGGGGUGGAAUUCCACGUGUAGCAGGUGAAAUGCGUAGAAUAUGUGGAGGAACACCGAUGGCGAAGGCAGCCCCCUGGGUUAACACUGACGCUCGAUGCACGAAA
rnacentral:rRNA from 1 species